rnacentral:rRNA from 1 species
UACAGAGGGUGCAAACGUUGUUCGGAAUUACUGGGCGUAAAGCGCGUGUAGGCGGCUUGUUAAGUCGGGUGUGAAAGCCCUCAGCUCAACUGAGGAAGGGCGCCCGAAAGUGGCGAGCUUGAGUGUCGGAGAGGAUGGCGGAAUACCCCAAGUAGAGGUGAAAUUCGUAGAUAUGGGGUGGAACACCGGUGGCGAAGGCGGCCAUCUGGACGACAACUGACGCUGAGACGCGAAAGCGUGGGGAGCAAACAGG